CCCCUAGUAACUGCGAGUGAAGCGGGAAAAGCUCAAAUUUAAAAUCUGGCGGCUUUGCCGUCCGAGUUGUAAUUUAGAGAAGUGUUUUCCGCGCCGGACCGUGUACAAGUCUCCUGGAACGGAGCGUCAUAGAGGGUGAGAAUCCCGUCUUUGACACGGACCGCCGGUGCUUUGUGAUACACUCUCGAAGAGUCGAGUUGUUUGGGAAUGCAGCUCAAAAUGGGUGGUGAACUCCAUCUAAAGCUAAAUAUUGGCGAGAGACCGAUAGCGAACAAGUACCGUGAGGGAAAGAUGAAAAGCACUUUGGAAAGAGAGUGAAACAGUACGUGAAAUUGUUGAAAGGGAAACGCUUGAAGUCAGUCGCGUCUGCCGGGGUUCAGCCUUUUGGUGUACUCCCCGGUUUGACGGGCCAGCAUCACUUUUGUACGCCGGAGAAGGGCGAGGGGAAUGUGGCACCUUCGGGUGUGUUAUAGCCUCUCGUCGUAUACGGUGCUCGGGAGUGAGGGACGCCUAUUU
rnacentral:rRNA from 1 species